rnacentral:rRNA from 1 species
UGGGGAAUUUUGCACAAUGGGGGAAACCCUGAUGCAGCGACGCCGCGUGAUUUAGAAGGCCUUCGGGUUGUAAAAAUCUUUUCUAUGGGAAGAAAAUGACAGUACCAUAGGAAUAAGGACCGGCUAAUUACGGGCCAGCAGCCGCGGUAAUACGUAAGGUCGGAGCGUUGUCCGGAAUCAUUGGGCGUAAAGGGUACGUAGGCGGGUAAGCAAGUUAGAAGUGAAAUCCUCUAGCUCAACUAUAGUAAGCUUUUAAAACUGCUCAUCUUGAGGUAUGGAAGGGAAAGUGGAAUUCCUAGUGUAGCGGUGAAAUGCGCAGAUAUUAGGAGGAAUACCGGUGGCGAAGGCGACUUUCUGGCCAUGACCUGACGCUGAGGUACGGAAGCGUGGGUAGCAAACAGG